GAGGCGGUCAACUAGCGCCUAUCGUCUAACCAAACCUAUCAAAGAAACGUUUGCGACUGCGAGUACGGCAGCACGCUGCACGCGGCUGGGGCAAGCGACACUGGUGAGUGGUGACUUCCAAAGUUUGACGCCUUCCAACAUUGGUGUUGCCCGAAGCCCACCCGACCCGACUCCUCCCUCCCAGUUCCAAAUUUCCAAUCCUCCUCGAUCCCACCAGUAGAACCCUCCGCUUGUUUCUUGCUCCCGGUUCUUGGAUCGCGGAACUGCUCCAAACCUUUUCUUGGAUCGCGGAACCACUCCAAACCUGCAAAAGUUUGAUCUUUGUCGACUGCUUCGGGUUCUAGGACCUGCCGAGUGGUAUUUAGGCAAAGAAGGCUCUGUCGGCAGUAGCCGUCCUUGUGAUUGGUUCCGGGACUUGGGUUUUAGCUCCCAAACGAGACCCCCAGGCGCGUCUGCGGCGAGCUGGUUGCUAAAGAAGGUAGGUGUCUCGGGGGCUAUUACAGGAAUCUACAACACCGGCCUCGCACCAUUGGUGGACAGAUACCUAUUACUACAGGUGCAAAAGGGGAGAUGGAGUGGGCUACUAUGGUGACAGGAGCUCAGGAUCAAGUGGGAACAAAAGCAUAAAGCUGGAAAGGUAUCUCCACGACUCACCAAGGUUAAGGUGUCUCCUACAAGAGAGGUCAGAAAGGAGUUUGUUGCUGAAGGCUGAAGCUAAAGAUACAAGGGAGGAGCCAUGGUGAAGAAGAAGCUGAAGAAACUGUAUGGCCGGGAUGCUCGGGAGUUCUUUAACCAGGUCAUGGUGGAGCAACCUUUGCUGCCCUUCCUGAUCCCGCUUGGCCUCUUUGCGUGGUUCAUCGAACGGUGGGUUGUGCCAUUCUCGAACUGGGUUCCCCUCGCUGCUGCCGUUUGGGCAACCAUUCAGUAUGGGAGGAUUAAGAGGAGGACAACUGUAGAAGAUUUGAACAAAAGAUGGAAGCAUCUUAUACUGAAUACAACACCCACCACACCAAUCGAGCCUUGCGAAUGGUUGAACAAACUUUUGUUAGAAGUUUGGCCUAAUUACAUGGAGCCAAAACUAUCGAAGAGGUUUCAGUCUACCGUCGAGAGACGUUUAAAGAAUCGAAAACCAAAAUUAAUAGAUAAAAUAGAAUUACAGGAAUUCUCACUUGGUUCUUGUCCACCUACCUUGGGAGAUCAGGGCAUGCGUUGGAUUACUUCUGGUGACCAGCAAGUCAUGUGCUUGGGAUUUGAUUGGAAUAGCCACGAGAUGAGUGUAAUGUUUUUGGCGAAAUUAGCGAAGCCACUGAUUGGGACUUGUCGAAUUGUUAUAAACAGCAUUCACAUCAAGGGAGAUCUUCUACUAUCACCCAUACUUGAUGGGGAAGCUAUACUCUAUUCUUUUGAAUCAACCCCAGAAGUCAGGAUUGGGGUAGCAUUUGGAAGUGGUGGAAGUCAAGCAAUUCCUGGUAUGGAGUUACCAGGUGUCUCGACAUGGCUGGUGAAGCUUUUGACUGAAACCUUAGGGAAAACAAUGGUUGAACCUCGCCGGCUAUGUUUUUCUUUGCCAUCAGUAGAUCUAAGGAAACGAGCAGUUGGAGGUGUUCUCUCAGUUACUGUUGUAUCAGCUAGUAACCUCUGUAAGAGCACAGCUAAUGAUAUAGGGAACUGCCAAAGCUCAAAUGGAGGGGCCACGUAUGGAAUUGCUGAUAACAAGGUAUCACAGACAUUUGUUGAGGUAGAAGUUGGCAAUUUGAUGAGAAAAACAAGUACCAGUAAGGGUCUAAAUCCUACAUGGAACAGUACAUUUAACAUGGUACUUCAUGGAGAGACAGGCAUUGUCAAGUUUCUUCUGUAUGAAUUGGAUUCUGGCGGUGUCAAAUUCAAUUACUUGACAAGCUGUGAGAUAAAGGUAAAGUAUGUUCAUGAUGGUUCAACAAUAUUUUGGGCUAUAGGACAUAACUCUGGUGUUGUUGCAAAGCAUACUGAGCAUUGUGGACAAGAAGUUGGAAUGGUUGUUCCAUUUGAGGAUAUAAAUGGCGAGUUAACUGUAAGCCUUGUGCUAAAAGAAUGGCAGUUCUCUGAUGGAUCGGUUACAUUGAGUAAUUCUCUGGGCAAUGGACUUCAAAGCUCAUUUGAUGGAUCGACAAAGCUUCAGUCCACAACAGGAAGGAAAGUUAGGGUCAGAGUUGUUGAGGGCAGGGCACUUACAGCUAAUAGUAAAUCUGGAAAAUGUGACCCUUAUGUGAAACUCCAGUAUGGAAAGGCUCUAUACCGAACAAAAACACUGACACAUACGGUCCGACCAGUUUGGAAUCACAAGUUUGAGUUUGAUGAGAUCUCUGGUGGUGAAUAUCUGAAGAUCAAAUGCUAUAAUGCAGAUAUGUUUGGUGAUGAAAGCAUUGGUAGUGCGAGAGUUAAUUUGGAGGGACUUUUAGAGGGUGCUACCCGUGAUGUUUGGGUCCCACUUGAAAAAGUAGAUUCAGGAGAGAUAAGGCUUGAAAUAGAGGCAAUAAAGAAUGAUCACAACAAUAGCUUGCAGAGCUCAAGCAGUAAAGCUGGAUCUGGUUGGAUUGAGCUAGUCAUAAUCGAAGCCAGAGAUCUUGUUGCUGCGGAUCUGAGAGGCACUAGUGAUCCUUAUGUCAGGGUGCACUAUGGGAGCAAGAAGAAACGAACCAAGGUCAGAUGGUCAUUUACAAAACACUGUCUCCACAGUGGAACCAGACAUUCGAGUUCCUGGAAACCGGAGAACCCCUGAUUUUGCAUGUGAAGGACCACAACGCCGUCCUUCCAACCGCCAGUAUCGGCCAUUGCACCGUCGAGUACAGCAUGCUGUCUCCAAACCAAUCCGCUGAGAAAUGGAUACCGCUCCAAGGCGUAAAAAGCGGAGAGAUCCAUGUAAGGGUGGCACUGAAGGUAUCAGUACCAGGUUCGGAGAAGAAGAACAUGCUCGGGGCAGGUCCGUUCGGCAAGGGGCACAAGAUGUCGACACAGAUGAGAGACAGCCUGAAGAGAUUCACGGGCUUGAUCGACGACGGCGGUGACCCGGAGGCACUGGCACUAGCCGUGGCGGAGAUGGAAGGCAUCCAGGGCGAGCAGGAAGAGUACGUCGAAACCCUGGAGCGGGAGAAGGCGAUGCUGUUGCACAAGAUAAAUGAGCUUGGUUCCGAAAUCAUUAGGACAGCAUCUGGUCCUCCAAGGACGCCGUACUAGUUAGAUCUGCAAAUGCACACCCCCCCACUACUGAAUGAACACGCAUUUAUUUAUCGGCAGGCGAAGACCUGGUUGUACGUAGAACUCUAUAGUGUGCAUGUACAAGUGAGCAGUACAGCUCGUGUAAGUAGGCCAGGCGUGUAGGAAGCACAGGUGUAUCUUGUAGUGAUUGAUAAAAACUGCUCAAGCAUCAACCGGCUGGAAGCUUACAGAAGUUGGUCGACUUUGUACACAGUUAGGGCAUGUUUGGGAACAAUGUUUUUUUAAAACCACAUUUUAUAAUACCACAGUUUACUGAAUGUUAGAACAAGACUAUGGUAUAUAUUUUACAUCACCUGUUUUGGAGGAA